rnacentral:rRNA from 1 species
AUCUACGGCCAUAGCACCCUGGACGAGCCUGAUGUCUGAUCUCAGAAGCUAAGCAGGGUCGGGCCUGGUUAGUACUUGGAUGGGAGACCACCUGGGAAGACCAGGUGCUGUAGGCA